rnacentral:rRNA from 1 species
UACGUAGGGGGGCGAGCGUUGUCCGGAUUUAUUGGGCGUAAAGAGCGUGUAGGCGGCCAGGUAGGUCUGCUGUGAAAACUCGAGGCUCAACCUCGAGACGUCGGCGGAAACCAUCUGGCUAGAGUCCGGAAGAGGAGAGUGGAAUUCCUGGUGUAGCGGUGAAAUGCGCAGAUAUCAGGAAGAACACCCCGUGGCGAAGGCGGCUCUCUGGGACGGUACUGACGCUGAGACGCGAAAGCGUGGGAGCGACAGG